rnacentral:rRNA from 1 species
CAGGGAUUGCCCUAGUAACGGCGAGUGAAGCGGCAACAGCUCAAAUUUGAAAUCUGGCCUCGGCCCGAGUUGUAAUUUGCAGAGGAUGCUUCUGGCGCGGUGCCUUCCGAGUUCCCUGGAACGGGACGCCAGAGAGGGUGAGAGCCCCGUAUGGUCGGACACCAAGCCUGUGUGAAGCUCCUUCGACGAGUCGAGUAGUUUGGGAAUGCUGCUCUAAAUGGGAGGUAAAUCUCUUCUAAAGCUAAAUACCGGCCAGAGACCGAUAGCGCACAAGUAGAGUGAUCGAAAGAUGAAAAGCACCUUGAAAAGGGGGUUAAAUAGUACGUGAAAUUGUUGAAAGGGAAGCGUUUGUGACCAGACUUGCGCCGGGCGGCUCAUCAGGGGUUCUCCCCUGUGCACUCCGCCCGGCUCAGGCCAGCAUCGGUUCUCGUGGGGGGAUAAGACCGGCGGGAACGUAGCACCCUCCGGGGUGUGUUAUAGCCCGGCGGACGAUACCCCCGUGGGGACCGAGGUUCGCGCUCCGCAAGGAUGCUGGCGUAAUGGUCACCAGCGACCCGUCUUGAAACACGGACCAAGGAGUCGUCCAUUAGAGCGAGCGUUUGGGUGUAAAACCCGCACGCGUAAUGAAAGUGAACGCAGGUGAGAGCUUCGGCGCAUCAUCGACCGAUCCUGAUGUUCUCGGAAGGAUUUGAGUAAGAGUUUUAACGGACGGACCCGAAAGACAGUGAACUAUGCUUGUAUAGGGUGAAGCCAGAGGAAACUCUGGUGGAGGCUCGCAGCGGUUCUGACGUGCAAAUCGAUCGUCAAAUAUGAGCAUGGGGGCGAAAGACUAAUCGA